CCAGCUAGCUAAAUCAGUUGAACAUGAGACUCUUAAUCUCAGGGCUGUGGGUUAGAGCCCCACGUUGG
rnacentral:tRNA from 1 species